rnacentral:rRNA from 1 species
AUUGAACGCUGGCGGCAGGCCUAACACAUGCAAGUCGAACGAGUGGCGGACGGGUUAGUAAUGUCUGUGCAACUGCCUGAUGGAUGGGGAUCACUACUGGACACUGUAGCUACUACCGCAUACCAUCAGAUGUGCCCAGAUGGGAUUAGCUAGUUGGUGGGGUAACGGCUCACCAAGGCGACGAUCCGUAGCUGGUCUGAGAGGAUGACCAGCCACACUGGAACUGAGACACGGUCCAGACUCCUACGGGAGGCAGCAGUGGGGAAUAUUGCACAAUGGGCGCAAGCCUGAUGCAGCCAUGCCGCGUGUAUGAAGAAGGCCUUCGGGUUGUAAAGCACUUUCAGCGGGGAGGCGUUACCCGCAGAAGAAGCACCGGCUAACUCCGUGCCAGCAGCCGCGGUAAUUC